CCUACGGGGAGCUGCAGUGGGGAAUAUUGCACAAUGGGGGAAACCCUGAUGCAGCGACGCCGCGUGAGUGAAGAAGUAAUUCGUUACGUAAAGCUCUAUCAGCAGGGAAGAAAAUGACGGUACCUGAGUACGACGCCCCGGCUAACUACGUGCCAGCAGCCGCGGUAAUACGUAGGGGGCAAGCGUUAUCCGGAUUUACUGGGUGUAAAGGGAGCGUAGACGGGAAUGCAAGUCAGAUGUGAAAACUCAGGGCUCAACCCUGAGCCUGCAUUUGAAACUGUGUUUCUUGAGUGCUGGAGAGGCAAUUGGAAGUCCGUGUGUAGCGGUGAAAUGCGUAGAUAUACGGAGGAACACCAGUGGCGAAGGCGGAUUGCUGGACAGUAACUGACGCUGAGGCGCGAAAGCGUGGGGAGCAAACAGGAUUAGAUACCCGGGUAGUC
rnacentral:rRNA from 1 species